UUGGAUAUCUUGUGUAUAUGCAGGUGUGGUCCAUGUAAGGUGAUUGCUCCCAAGUACAAAGCUUUAUCAGAGAAGUAUGAGGACGUUGUCUUUCUAAAGCUUGACUGCAAUCCAGAUAACCGGCCAUUGGCAAAGGAGUUAGGAAUAAGAGUGGUUCCAACAUUCAAGAUAUUGAAGGACAACAAGGUCGUCAAGGAAGUGACUGGUGCGAAAUAUGAUGAUCUGGUUGCGGCGAUUGAAACAGCGAGAUCGUCGUCUGCUGGUUCUGGUUGAACAAGAAGCAGAACAGUUUAGACAGUGGAAAGCCUCCCGGGAGAAGGAACUUUUGCAGAUUCAUAAGAUGGUUGAGCUGUCGGGAAGCCCAGAUCGUGAAGCCAUGUGGUAUUUAGAAGUCAUGGACGCAUACAGACUGUUCUAUGAGCCCUUGAUCCUAGAGUGAAGCCAUGUGCUUUCCGCAGCCCACAUCUCCACAAAAACCAAAUCAUCAGUGACGAGUGUUUGUUUUUUCAAAGAGUUUCUGUCUUCAGUGAUGAAACAAACCAAGGAUGUUGUUCUGUCUUCAAAUUCGUUGUAGUUUUAUGUUGUGUAAGCUAGCAAAUGGUUUGUUACCCCAAGACACUUGGUAACUAUCCUGCAAUCGUUUUUUUUUUGUCAUACUCAUCUUCUAACAUCAA